rfam:Oryza meridionalis cultivar OR44 (W2112) chromosome 6, whole genome shotgun sequence.
UGCAAGCAAAAUCAUGGUACAUCAUUUCAUGUCCCACGUUUAACCGUUCGUCUUAUUUAAUUUUUUUUUUAUAAUUACUACUUUUAUUGUUAUUAGAUGAUAAAAUAUGAAUAGUACUUUACGUAUGACUAAUUUUUUUAAUAUUUUUCAUAAAUUUUUCAAAUAAGACGGAUGGUUAAAACGAUGAACACGGAUACUUAU